rnacentral:tRNA from 2 species
CAAGGUAGAGCUUAGUAGUUAAGCAUUUCACUUACGUUGAGAGGGGUUUCGUGCGAAUCGAAUUACUUUGA